GUGGAUCAUGGUUAUAUUUUUAAGACCCUAACAGCUUUGGGCAUUGGUGGACGCUUCAUCUCAUGGAUUAGGCUGCUGUACACUGAUGUGUACAGUAUGCUGAAAAUAAACGGAACACUAACAAGAACUUUUCCGUGCACAGAGGUGUUCCACAAGGCUGUAGCCUGUCCGGUCUGCUGUACACUCAUCCCAUUGAGCCCCUGCUAAGACACCUGCGAGAAAAUCUGCAAGGGUUUUCAGUGUUAAGCCCUGACUUAUCUGAUGUGACCACAGUCAAGCUCACAGCAUAUGCUGAUGAUCUGACGGUGAUAAUCAGGUCCGAGGAUGACAUCAGUCACGUGUUUUCUGGCCUGGAUGUCUUUCAGAGUGCAUCAUCUGCACGUGUAAACUGGAACAAAACUGAUGCCUUACUUCUAGGUCAAUGGCAGGAAGAAAAUAUACCUCACCUCCCAUAGGAGUGUUCAUGGAGGGACUGAGAAUACUUGGGAUCUUCUUUGGCACAGAUCGAUAUAUGCAGAAGAACUGGGAUGGAUUGACCAAUAAGGUUCUAGAAAAGCUAAAUAGAUGGAGAUGGAUUCAAUCACAGCUGUCCUAUAGGAGCAGGGUCCUAGUGAUAAACAACUUGGCUGCCUCGAUGCUGUGGCACCGUCUGACAGUAUUGGAUCCACCUCAAGAACUCUUGCUAAAUGCUGAACAUUUGGAUACGAAAAUUGUCUUGAAAACACAACAUGAAAAUGGCCCAAUUCAACCAGAUUUUAAUAAAGUUGAGCAGUUCCAGGAGGUUGUUCUAGGUAGCACUAGAGUUAAUUCAAUUCAAUUUCAAUUCAAUUUUAUUUGUAUAGCGCUUUUUACAAUAGACAUUGUCUCAAAGCAGCUUUACAGAAAUAUCAACACGGUAUACAGAUAUUAAAGGUGUGAAUUUAUCCCAACUGAGCAAGCCACUGAGUGGCGACGGUGGCAAGGAAAAACUCCCUAAGAUGUUUUAAGAGGAAGAAACCUUGAGAGGAACCCGACUCAGAAGGGAACCCAUCCUCAUCUGGGUAACAACAGAUAUUGUGAAAAAGUUCAUUAUGGAUCAUAAUCUCUCAACUAUGGGAGAUAACUGUGUCAGAAUUGGAGGCUGCAUUGGUGUAGUAAUGAAUAUUCUUCAAUGUCAGGAGAAGGUGUAUGUAAUCUACAGAGAAUGUGAGCAAAUGGAACCUUUCUUUCACUAUCCCAUAAACUCAAUUCAGAUGGGGGUCUAUUUAGUAGAUAAUCUCUCAUCUAGCCUGAAAUGAUUGAAUUGAAUGGAAAUGUGAUGAAGUAUGUGAGGCUACCAUAUCAAGGCCGAUUUGUUGCAGUGCCUUUACUGCACAUAAAGUGGUAAUGUAAUUGAGAAUAACAUACAGCACUGCCUCAUCAAAAUAAUUCAUUUUUCAGUUAUUUAAUUCAUGCAUUUUUAAAGUCAUUUAGACAUGAAAUUAGACUAAGUGUCUUGGGACAUUAGAGAGGUGUUCACCACUGGAAUGUUGGAUGUCUCUGAUCCAUGUAUUCUUAGGAAUGUUUAUUGCAAUUUAAGUUUUAUUAAUCUUUGUUUUUUUUAUUGAACAGGCAGCUAUGAGUCAGAUGCAGAAGAGCCAGCCCAAAAAAAUGCCAGGCGCAAAAUCCUCAAUAGAGUCUAUUACACGGAUACCAAAGGACUCCUCAGACCCCUACUCCUGAAGUUAUUGUCACUCCACAAGAGCCUUCAAGAUCUGGGUUCCAAGAAACACCUUUCUGUGGAAAGACCUCUACAGCCACCUGUAGUCAGUGCCAGUAAUUUGGUGUAGGCCAAAACUAGCAAGUAUUUGGACGGUGACACUAUUUGGAUAAUUUUGGCGCUGUAUGCCACCACAAUGGAUUUGAAAUGAAACAACUGAGAUGCGAUUGAACUGCAGACUUUGUUGUGGAUAAAAAUGACAUGAAAUAAACACGAGGGAGACCUAGUAUGAGUAAUAUGUAAUUUUAUUGAAAAUUCACAGGACUAGCUGGAUUCACACUUUAAGAUCUUUAAGAGUAACACACUAUGGUUUAUUAGUCACAGAGAAAUAUAAGAGAUGAGGAGGGCAGGCUGAGAAACACACACACUCUCGUACAGUCAAGGGCGGGCGUGCAGACAUAACACACACAAAGGCCCCAACGCACACACACAUAACAACAUGAGACUAAGGUCUCUCUAAAAUUGUUUUCUCUCUCUCCCACUUUCAAUCCUAAUGGUAGUCAGAAAGUCCUCUUUCAAAACAUCAUGUUAAAUUUGAUAAACCUUUUUUUAAACAUCAUGGUAAUGUAGCUCUUUUUAAAGCUCUUUUUUAACCCUAUUGGUAUUGAAAUCAUAGUCUUUUUAAAAUAUAUUGGUUAUCUACUGUGUAAAUACAGUAUAAAUACUGGAGCUUGAGCUCCAGGUGUCAGAUCACUUCUGAGAAUUCUCAUCAUUGUGGAUCUCGUGAGGUGGAAAUAAAAUCUGGACCCUUGCUUCUUCUC